AUUGAACGCUGGCGGCAUGCCUUACACAUGCAAGUCGAACGGCAGCACGGGUGCUUGCACCUGGUGGCGAGUGGCGAACGGGUGAGUAAUACAUCGGAACAUGUCCUGUAGUGGGGGAUAGCCCGGCGAAAGCCGGAUUAAUACCGCAUACGAUCCAYGGAUGAAAGCGGGGGACCUUCGGGCCUCGCGCUAUAGGGUUGGCCGAUGGCUGAUUAGCUAGUUGGUGGGGUAAAGGCCUACCAAGGCGACGAUCAGUAGCUGGUCUGAGAGGACGACCAGCCACACUGGGACUGAGACACGGCCCAGACUCCUACGGGAGGCAGCAGUGGGGAAUUUUGGACAAUGGGCGAAAGCCUGAUCCAGCAAUGCCGCGUGUGUGAAGAAGGCCUUCGGGUUGUAAAGCACUUUUGUCCGGAAAGAAAKCMCUUGGCUCUAAUACAGUCGGGGGAUGACA
rnacentral:rRNA from 1 species